UUGCAUUAGCGAUAGAAAUGGCAGCCUUUUUUGUGCACGCCUAUGCGCAAAAAAGCUAAAAUGGAUAGCGCGACCCUUU
rnacentral:sRNA from 1 species